UACAGAGGUCGCAAGCGUUGUUCGGAUUUACUGGGUUUAAAGGGUGCGUAGGCGGGCUUUUAAGUCAGCGGUGAAAUCUCCGGGCUCAACCCGGAAAUUGCCGUUGAUACUAUUAGUCUUGAAUUAAGUUGAGGUGGGCGGAAUAUGUCAUGUAGCGGUGAAAUGCUUAGAUAUGACAUAGAACACCGAUUGCGAAGGCAGCUCGCUAAACUUAUAUUGACGCUGAGGCACGAAAGCGUGGGGAUCAAACAGG
rnacentral:rRNA from 1 species